AUGCAUGAAUUUGAUGCUAGAAUAUAAGUGAAUUUCACCUAAUCGUUAUGAACUUAUAUUCACAAGUAGUGGAGGUCGCUUAUAAACGAUCGCGUUAAGUAAAUUCUAGGCUGGAUUAACAUGCGUAUUCCAUAGUUAUGAAUGCCUAGUCAAUGUUUAUGUUUUUCAUAGAACUUAAUGAUUCUUGCUUGUUCUCUAUUAUGCAAUUCAUGUAGGGAACUUGUAGGAAAUGUUUUGGGUUGUCGUAUGCAAUUAUCCAACCCAAUAACUUGUGGAAAAUCUAAGAGUUAAUUUAAGCGGACCUAAUUAACUUGGAACAUUGUGAUUUACAAUUUAUUGAAAGAACAACUGAAAAUCAAUUUAGGUUGCAUAUAUGUCAUGUGUGGAGAAGAACCCUCUAGCUAGUCCGUCAUUUAUCAUUUUACCUUAAUUUUAUGUUUUUGUCAAUUCUGUAAUUUAAUUAAGUUUAAUUUACUUCUCAUCAAAACCAAACACCCAUCCAUUAUUAAAUUAUAUUUUUUUAGUUAGUUUUCUUUAUUGUUAGUCUUUUAAUUUAAUUUCUAAAAGGUUUUAGCAAGCCCUCCUAAUCCCCGGCCUAGAACGAUACCCUACUUAUACUUAUACUACAAUUGUCAAAAGAGGGUUUAAUUUGUGUGUCAAGUAAUUCUCGCACCAAAUUUUGGCGCCGUUGCCGGGGAUUAGCAACUUUGCUAAUCCUUUU
rnacentral:lncRNA from 1 species